rnacentral:rRNA from 6 species
GGAAGUAAAAGUCGUAACAAGGUCUCCGUUGGUGAACCAGCGGAGGGAUCAUUGC